rnacentral:ncRNA from 1 species
AAGCUCUUCCUAUCACUGUGAAGUACAAUUCAUCAAGCGCUGCAUCGUUAACCCACUAAUACGGAACACGAACUGGGUUUAAACCGUCGAGACACAGGUU